UACAGAGGGGGCAAGCGUUGUUCGGAAUUACUGGGCGUAAAGGGCGCGUAGGCGGCCUUCUAAGUCGAACGUGAAAUCCCUGGGCUCAACCCAGGAACUGCGUCCGAUACUGGAAGGCUUGAAUCCGGGAGAGGGAUGCGGAAUUCCAGGUGUAGCGGUGAAAUGCGUAGAUAUCUGGAGGAACACCGGUGGCGAAGGCAGCUCGCUGGGACGUGACUGACGCUGAGACGCGAAAGCGUGGGGAGCAAACAGG
rnacentral:rRNA from 1 species